AAUAACACAAAUAAACAUCAGAGAGAGCUGAAAAAUCAGCUUUGAUUAUGCAUGAAAAUCUACAAUGUCAUUGUGUACUCUUAUGCCGUAUUCUGAUUGCCUGUUUAUUUUUACAGAACUGCUGGUGAGCCCAUGGAAGAGGAGCCAGCCUUGUGAAGUGCCAAGUCUCCCCCAAUAUUUCCUGUGUGUGACAUCAUUGUGUAUGCCCCCACCCCAGCACCCUCAGACAUGUCUUGUCUGCUGCCUGGGUGGCACAGAUUCGAUAGAACAUAAACACUGGGCACAAAAUUCUGAACAGCAGCUUCACUUGUUCUUUGGAUGGACUUGAAAGGGCAUUAAAGAUUCCUGAAACGUAACUGCUGUGAUUCUAAAGUUACAGUAAACCAUGAUUGGAAGAAACUGCUUCCAGCGCGCUUUUAUUACGCUGGGUGACCCACUCCCAGACAAAGUAUGAACUAGAAACAU
rnacentral:lncRNA from 1 species